AUGGAGCCUGGCGGAGGGGAGGAGCGAUGGAGUAAGACGAAGAUCCCCGGCGAUAAAAAUUUCAAAUUGAGGGUAGUUUGGUACUUUAUCCUGUUUUCACCUGGUCGGAGAAGUUUCCCAACGACAACUAUUUCGGAACAGAGGGAGUAUAUCGGAGAGAGAUUUUAUUCUUCCCAUGCCACGUCUUGUGUUGACUAG
rnacentral:rRNA from 1 species